rnacentral:rRNA from 1 species
GACGAACGCUGGCGGCGUGCCUAAUACAUGCAAGUCGAGCGAGCGAAACUAACAGAUUUACUUCGGUAAUGACGUUAGGAAAGCGAGCGGCGGAUGGGUGAGUAACACGUGGGGAACCUGCCCCAUAGUCUGGGAUACCGCUUGGAAACAGGUGCUAAUACCGGAUAAGAAAGCAGAUCGCAUGAUCAGCUUUUAAAAGGCGGCGUAAGCUGUCGCUAUGGGAUGGCCCCGCGGUGCAUUAGCUAGUUGGUAAGGUAAAGGCUUACCAAGGCGAUGAUGCAUAGCCGAGUUGAGAGACUGAUCGGCCACAUUGGGACUGAGACACGGCCCAAACUCCUACGGGAGGCAGCAGUAGGGAAUCUUCCACAAUGGACGCAAGUCUGAUGGAGCAACGCCGCGUGAGUGAAGAAGGUUUUCGGAUCGUAAAGCUCUGUUGUUGGUGAAGAAGGAUAGAGGUAGUAACUGGCCUUUAUUUGACGGCAAUCAACCAGAAAGUCACGGCUAACUACGUG